rnacentral:lncRNA from 1 species
CUGGAGAUAAAAAUUGUGGAGUCUUCCCAUCUCGGUAAAAAUUGGGUACAGGCGCACCCCGGCCAGGCGCCCGGCUUUCCACAGGGUGUGCGCCUGGAGAGGGGCCUCGCAAACCCCUCUGCGCCCUCCCUCACCCCUUAGGGGUUGCAUCGACAA